rfam:Pseudomonas syringae pv. pisi str. 1704B contig25.5, whole genome shotgun sequence.
UUUUAUGGCGGCUGUGUGUGGGAGACCUUCGGGUCUGCCGGGUUCCUAUUGUCCCGGUCCGUCAACCUACACACAGCUGCCACCCUA